rnacentral:rRNA from 1 species
UACAGAGGUCCCAAGCGUUGUUCGGAUUCACUGGGCGUAAAGGGUGCGUAGGUGGCUACUUUAAGUUUGAUGUGAAAGCUCCGGGCUCAACCCGGAAAUGGCAUUGAAGACUAUUGAGCUAGAGGUUUGGAGGGGGGACUGGAAUGCUUGGUGUAGCAGUGAAAUGCGUAGAGAUCAUGAGGAAGACCAGUGGCGAAGGCGGGUCUCUGGACAGUUCCUGACACUGAGGCACGAAGGCCAGGGGAGCAAACGGG